AGUGAACGCUGGCGGUAGGCCUAACACAUGCAAGUCGAACGGCAGCACAGUAAGAGCUUGCUCUUACGGGUGGCGAGUGGCGGACGGGUGAGGAAUACAUCGGAAUCUACUUUUUCGUGGGGGAUAACGUAGGGAAACUUAUGCUAAUACCGCAUACGACCUACGGGUGAAAGCAGGGGAUCUUCGGACCUUGCGCGAUUGAAUGAGCCGAUGUCGGAUUAGCUAGUUGGCGGGGUAAAGGCCCACCAAGGCGACGAUCCGUAGCUGGUCUGAGAGGAUGAUCAGCCACACUGGAACUGAGACACGGUCCAGACUCCUACGGGAGGCAGCAGUGGGGAAUAUUGCACAAUGGGCGCAAGCCUGAUCCAGCCAUACCGCGUGGGUGAAGAAGGCCUUCGGGUUGUAAAGCCCUUUUGUUGGGAAAGAAAAGCAGCAGGUUAAUACCCCGCUGUUCUGACGGUACCCAAAGAAUAAGCACCGGCUAACUUCGUG
rnacentral:rRNA from 1 species